rnacentral:rRNA from 1 species
CGCGGUAUUUUGACCGUGCGAAGGUAGCAUAAUCAUUAGUCUUUUAAUUGAAGGCUUGUAUGAAGGGUUGGACGAGAAAUGAGCUGUCUUUAUUGAAAAAAUAGAAUUUAACUUUUAAGUGAGAGGGCUUAGAUACUCUAAAGGGACGAUAAGACCCUAUAAAGUUUGACAUUUUAUUCAUUAAAAAAUAAGAUAAGUAGGUAAUUUUUAUUAGUGAGAUAGUGUUUCGUUGGGGCGAUUAGAAUAUAAAAAAUUUAACUGUUUUAUAUUAAUACAAAAAUGUUUGAGUUUUUGAUUCUUAAUAAAGAUAUUAGAGCAAAUUACUUUAGGGAUAACAGCGUAAUUUUUUUUGAGAGUUCUUAUCUACAAAAAAGUUUGCGACCUCGAUGUUGAAUUAAAGAAUUCUUUAUAGCGCAGAAGUUAUAAAAGAAGGUCUGUUCGA